AUUGAACGCUGGCGGCAGGCCUAACACAUGCAAGUCGAGCGAGCGGCCGACGGGUGAGUAAUGUCUGGGAAACUGCCUGAUGGAGGGGGAUAACUACUGGAAACGGUAGCUAAUACCGCAUACCAUCAGAUGUGCCCAGAUGGGAGUCGCUAGUAGGUGGGGUAACGGCUCACCUAGGCGACGAUCCCUAGCUGGUCUGAGAGGAUGACCAGCCACACUGGAACGGGGACACUGUCCAGACUCCUACGGGAGGGAGAUGAGGGGAAUGUUGCACAAUGGGAGCAAGCCUGAUGCAGCCGUGGCGAGUGUGUGAAGAGGGCCUGCGGUUUGUAAAUCGCUUUCAGCUGGGAGGUGUUACCCGCAGAAGAAGCACGGGCUAACUCCGUGCCAGCAGCCGCGGUAAUUC
rnacentral:rRNA from 1 species